rnacentral:rRNA from 1 species
UACGGGGGGGGCAAGCGUUGUUCGGAAUUACUGGGCGUAAAGGGCUCGUAGGCGGCCAACUAAGUCAGACGUGAAAUCCCUCGGCUUAACCGGGGAACUGCAUCUGAUACUGGAUGGCUUGAAUUCGGGAGAGGGAUGCGGAAUUCCAGGUGUAGCGGUGAAAUGCGCAGAUAUCAGGAGGAACACCGACGGCGAAGGCAGCUUACUGGGCCGAUACUGACGCUGAGGAGCGAAAGCGUGGGGAGCGAACAGG